CCUGGCGGCACUAGCGCGGUGGUCCCACCUGACCCCAUGCCGAACUCAGAAGUGAAACGCCGUAGCGCCGAUGGUAGA
rnacentral:rRNA from 1 species